AAAGUUAAAGAGAAAAAGCAUGUAGUUAUUUUUUUGUAAUCUGUGCUUCUAGUAAAGUAAUUGAUAAUAAUACGGAAAAGUUUUAAAUGCGUUGUGAAGUUAAAGAAAAUUAGUAAAAGUGGAGUUUUUUUUCGAGAGAUGACAAAUUAACAUAUUAUUGUUGAUGGCAGAAUUGGUUAUGAUGCAAGCAACAUCGAGUGUUCAAUUGGCGACAUUAAAAUAGCCAAAAAAUAAUGUUUUCGCUUGAUUGUAUUUAUAUAUUAACAUCGUCAAAAGUUUUAUUCAUUUUA